UACAGAGGUGGCAAGCGUUGUUCGGAAUUACUGGGCGUAAAGGGCGCGUAGGCGGUUCGUUAAGUCCUGUGUGAAAUCCCCGGCUCAACUGGGGAACUGCACAGGAAACUAGCGGGCUUGAGUUCGGGAGAGGGAAGCGGAAUUCCGGGUGUAGCGGUGAAAUGCGUAGAUAUCCGGAGGAACACCGGUGGCGGAAGGCGGCUUCCUGGACCGGACACUGACGCUGAGGCGCGAAGCUAGGGAGCAACAGG
rnacentral:rRNA from 1 species